rnacentral:misc_RNA from 1 species
CAACCCUCAAGUCCCCUGUGGACUUGGUGUUGGGGACCGGCGACACACAGCUGUUUACAGUUGGUCGCCGCCCCCUAAAUGACUUGGCGGCCUCGUCGCGGCCCUCCUCUGCGUAGUAGCACACACCUCGCAACAGGAGCCCGGCGAAUGGCCACUGCCGUAAAACCCCCAACUUCUUUUUAG